UUAAUAUGUAAGUAUUUAAAACCAUUAUUAUUUAUUACCAAUCAAUAUUUAUAUUGUUGGGUAAACAAAUUUCGGAACAUCUUUCGUCUUGUUAAUGUAGCUGGCAAGCAAAGCGGCGUUAUGAAUAAAUUUAAGUUGCUAUAGAAACAAUGUUCUGUUGAUUGUCACUUGUGUCAUAGAAAAUAAAAAGAGCUAUCCAUUGUGUAUUCCUACUGUUGUAAUAAAUUAAUUUGGUGGACAAAUCUAUCUUCUAUUUUUCUACUGUAAAAUCACACUCAGCCACACGCUCACACACGUCUGACAUUGAAAAGACAGGGAUUUUUCUUGUUUUGACGUAUUUUCUAACCUCUUAGAAUGUUAUUAGAAGUCGUAAUAAAAUAAUUUGAAUAUAAAGCUAUGUUUUAAAGUAAAUAAAGACCAUUUAACGAUGUUAACAUGAUGAGACAUCGAUUUUAUGGAAUGGAGGAGAAGAUUUAACAGCUAGAAAUUAACAAAAAUCCUGCAAGAGCAUCGAGAUCUCGCUUUUGGCGAGUGGAAGUCCAAAGGCAAAGUGCAGCGGUUUGCAGUUCUUAGGCUCACUUUUUUGGACCUAACAAGACAGGAAAAGAAUAGUCAAAGAGGAAACCCGAGUAGCCAGAUGAUAAUAUAUGAAACCAUGAGCAGCCAGCCAUUGAAACUCUCAGCAAUUUGAAUAACAAUUUUGAUUG